UUUGAAAUGAUAUCUGGGGAAGAAAUGGCGUCUUCGGGAACGAUGGGACCAGGGACCCAUCUUUGGAUUCAGCCUCUCCCAUCACCCACAGGAUUCACCCAUCGCCCCAGGACACACCUCACCCCACCCACAGAGAAUCGCUAACGAUCCUCCGAAGCCGGAGACGCUUCCCUGGGACGCUUCCGGCAUUGGCAGCUCCCAAUUUACCGCCAGGCUGGUUUCCCGCUCUCUGGCUUCGGUUCGGAGGGACAUCCAACUGACAGCUGGCAAAGGCGCCGCUUCAUCCAGCGGCGGGGGCGAAUCCAGCAAAUAAUUGUCCAAAGAUUAUCCCGGCGUAAUGGCGCAACGACAGCAGCCGCCGCACAUCAUUAGAGCUUAGCACGGAGCGCGGGAAGAGAUUCCACGGAGCUAAAGCAAACAAACGCCGAGCAAAACACACAGCAGAUGUAGCGCAUUAGUCGUGCACGGAUUGACUCGGGAGCUGCGUGUCAACAGCGCCGGAGCAAGGCAGGGCUUGGCAGAGCCCCGGGGCUGGUUGUUCCUCUCGAGCACGGUGCCGUCCUCGUGGGUUUGAAGGGUGCUCAGGAGCUCUUGGGGUCUCCUGUGGCCUUUGGAAGGCAGUAUCCAGGGUUUUUCCUCGCCUCCCUGCCUGCCAGGAGAAAUGGAACCCCCUGAAACGUCAGGCUUUUUUGGAACUGGCAGCAACUUUCCAUCCUAAAGUUUGAUCCUUGGAGUGAACGAUCCGGAGCAAAGCAACGCAACCGGGGACAGAAUUUCUCAGUGCAGGAAUAGAAGGGCAGGUGCAGAAAGGCAGAGGAUGCUCACGGACGCACCGCCGUCGGCCGCCCUUCCAGCCACCCGGAGCCGAACUCCUCGCCGUGCACGUGGCGUU